AUCCUCAGUCUCUCUCACUGCCCCUCCCCCGUGAUCCACUCUCUCUCUCAGAUCCUCUGUCUGACGGUGACUGAUCGCCUCAGAAGCUGCAUCUGCCUGGUUUUCUCCGGAUGUGAGUGCGGCCCGAACCUGUUCUUUUCUAGUGUGUUGACCUUAUUGUACGAAUACAAGUGUGCAUCCUACUCGUGGUAGUACAACGGAAGCAGCAUUUCAGUGUGUAGGUGACACUAAACAUAGAAAAAAUGUAAACUGUGAGGAUAGACUGGAACUCCAAAAGGACAUUCGUGGAAUGGGUGGAUAGGAGGCAAGAUGAACCUCAAUACAGAGUAGUGUGAGGUGAUGUACUUUGAUUGGAAGGUCACUGUAAU